UACGAAGGGGGCUAGCGUUGCUCGAAAUCACUGGGCGUAAAGCGCACGUAGGCGGACUCUUAAGUCGGUGGUGAAAUCCUGGAGCUCAACUCCAGAACUGCCUUCGAUACUGAGAGUCUCGAGUCCGGGAGAGGUGAGUGGAACUGCGAGUGUAGAGGUGAAAUUCGUAGAUAUUCGCAAGAACACCAGUGGCGAAGGCGGCUCACUGGCCCGGUACUGACGCUGAGGUGCGAAAGCGUGGGGAGCGAACAGG
rnacentral:rRNA from 1 species